CGAAGAAAUAGAGGUUGCGGAUUCUAUGAGUGCUCUGGAGUAUGCGGAUACGCUGAAGGAGCAGGAGGAGAAACCGCCGAAAUGGGCAGUGUGCCGUGACACUGCGUGUUGGGGCCGUUGGGGAAUACCCGCGGAACUGUCUUAACCGAUUGGCUCACGCCGACUGAUUAAGGAGCGCUAUUCUGGUU
rnacentral:ncRNA from 2 species